rfam:Triticum aestivum genome assembly, contig: Triticum_aestivum_CS42_TGACv1_scaffold_112130_2AS
CAAGUACUCCCUCCGUCCGGAAUUACUUGUCAUCAAAAUGGAUGUGUCUAGAACUAAAAUACAUCUAGAUACAUCCAUUUCAAUGACAAGUAUUUUUGGACAGAGGGAGUACAAG